UACGGAGGAUCCAAGCGUUAUCCGGAAUCAUUGGGUUUAAAGGGUCCGUAGGCGGUUUAAUAAGUCAGUGGUGAAAGCCCAUCGCUCAACGGUGGAACGGCCAUUGAUACUGUUAAACUUGAAUUAUUAGGAAGUAACUAGAAUAUGUAGUGUAGCGGUGAAAUGCUUAGAGAUUACAUGGAAUACCAAUUGCGAAGGCAGGUUACUACUAAUGGAUUGACGCUGAUGGACGAAAGCGUGGGUAGC
rnacentral:rRNA from 1 species